AUGCCAACAUUGCAUAACCAACAAAAAGGCAAGUUUUCAGAAAGACAAUUAACGAGUAAUGAGUUUGGAGAACUUUGGAGAAUUCAUGGGACGGAUUCUACUGUGAAUUGUUAAUUUCCGUAACGAAGUAUAAGGUUAACUGGACGCUCUCGAAACAACCGGUGCUUACACGCCCAGGAAGCAGGAAGGAGAAGAAGGAUGCAACGAUAAAAUCAUUCGAGUCGUUGCCCGAAAACAGGCAGUCGAAAGCAUCAUGAGACUUCGUGAGAGAUGCAAUCGUCGCAUCGUUUCUAAAUCACACAAAUCAAAUGAAAACUUGGCAGAACAUCGUGUUCGAUUCUUAUUCUUAUAAAACGCAAUACAGGGUGCGCACAUUCCCAUGACAGGAAGACUGAAAUUAGGUUUCCUGCCGAGUGCACGAACCGAAAGAUAAUUCCUUUCCAAGCUGUAUAAAGUCGUACGAACAAGGAAUUAUUUUUUUUUCUUAUCACACUAUUCAUUCCUGUUCUUUUCCGGAAUAAGUUUUACGGAUAUUAAAGGAUAGGGAAAAUCUACGAUUGGAAACUUUUGCAUUAAAAAGUUUAUUCAUUAUAAUCAGGAUUAUCAGUUUUUCUCGAGUUCUAUUUUAAUCUAGAGAGAAAUUUCAUUGAAGAAAUCAAAUCCUCUAUAAUUGAAAUGAAAUUUCUGCAGCAUUCAUUGAAGGAAAAGGAACGAGAAUUUCCGUCAAUCUUUUAAAAAGUCUAUUAUCUUUUGCACGAGAGUUUACUCAUGACUACUAGGUCUAAGGACGUGAAGUCGAUGUCGGUGGCGGCGACGCACCGAGCGUGCUUCCUGCCGCUUGACCGGAAGUCGCGAGUCAGAGGCUCGGCUCUACGUAGGCGUUACGCUUCCUUACGCGUAUCUACACCGUCUCGCUACCCAGUUUCUCCUCUGCCUCGUUGCUGCUCUCCGUGGAAGACCCUUCGGCGCUCCUCGAGGAACCUUCUUUCAAGGUCAUCCUAUCCGGGCCAACUUUUCUUCCUCUCUUUCGUAAUCUUUCUCUCUUUCGUUCUUUUAUCUUUUCUCUAAUUU